UGAUGGUGAGCUUGAUGGCGGCUUAAUUUCGACUUAAGAUAAGGAUAAUUUAGUGAAGUUCACGUCAU
rnacentral:tRNA from 1 species